UUCAGCUUCAUCUAUAAAUAAAGAUCCAAAAGAGACCCCUAAGGUAUAAAAUCUCGCAUGCUCACUUCUUUCCUCUAUUGUUCAGAAUUUUAAAUUGAGUGUUGGAGGGUCCCCACCGGAGCUACCUCUGAUCGAAGAUUUUUUUGUAGAUCCUACCGUCGGCAACUUACCGUCACCAACCAACUCCAGUCAAUUUGACCUUAAGACAAAAUUAUGCCGCAAC
rnacentral:lncRNA from 1 species